rnacentral:lncRNA from 1 species
AAAAAAAGGAAGGAAGGAAGGAAGGAAGAAAGAAAGAAAGAAAGAAAGAAAGAAAGAAAGAAAGAAAGAAAGAAAGAGCACAAAGUGCCCAAGGAGAAGAGACUGAGAAAGGAGCUCACUCAGUAUGAGGCUGAACUUCCUUAAAAGCAAGGAAAGCUUUGAAGGGCCUUACAGGGAAUUGGGAUUGGUGACACGUCCUAGGAAUCCCCAGAAAAAUCAAGGGGGAAACUAGGGAAUGUGGGGGGCAACAUGUGGGGCAAGGUCAGCAAAAUGUCACUGAGACCUGCUUGUAACCCAGGGGUGAAAUGACCUAGGAAAAUUCAGGUUACAUAUGUGGCUCACAAUCAUAGGUUUUAUUUACAGAUACCACUCUGUGGGCAGAGACCAAAGAAAAAAUUUGUUCUUAGGGUUUUUUUUUUUUUCUCUUUUUCUCAUACAGGCAAUUUAUAGGCGAUUGAACCCUGGGGUGAUUUAACCCUAAACCACAUCCCCAGACCUUUUUUUUUUCUUUAAUUUUGAGACAGGGUCUUACUAAAAUGCUGAGGCUGGCCUCAAACUUGUGAUCCUCCUGCCUCAGCUUCCUGAGUCCUUGGGAUUACAGAUGUGCAUCAGCACACCAGCCCUAUUGGAGAUUAUUUAUUGUGAAUUAUUUCUCAAAGCACAUCUAAGAAAGUGUCCACAUAUUUUUAUAAUGAUAUUUACCACCAUAUUAUUUAGCUUACAAUGCUAUUGCUGGUUAAUAUUUAACCACUAGGUCUCUCCAAACAAGUCCAUAUGUGCUAUACACAUACACACACAUAUACCUAAGAUUAUUUUAAACUUUCUAAUAUAAAGAUGUAUAGCACUCAAUUUAUAUAAAACAAUAAAAUGAAGUAUACAAAGUCUUCACUGUACUUUCCAUGUGGUCAACUGAUUCAUUUACUGACUUUUUCCAAGACCUUCUCCACAGCCAAUCUGUGGUUUCAAUUCUACCCUGUGGUUUCAAUUCUACCCUGUGGUAAACAGUAUUUAUAGUCUAGUUCAUGAGAUUCCUAAAAAAAAUAGCAACCCAUCUAGGAGAAUC